rnacentral:rRNA from 1 species
CUUUGCUGGCGACCGGCGCACGGUGAGUACACGUAUCAACCUGCCCUUUACUCGGGGAUAGCCUUUCGAAAGAAAGAUUAAUACCCGAUAGCAUAAUGAUUCCGCAUGGUUUCAUUAUUAAAGGAUUCCGGUAAAGGAUGGGGAUGCGUUCCAUUAGGUUGUUGGUGAGGUAACGGCUCACCAAGCCUUCGAUGGAUAGGGGUUCUGAGAGGAAGGUCCCCCACAUUGGAACUGAGACACGGUCCAA